CAAGCAUGGCUGAGCACAAAGACGGAGCUGCUGGCAUUGGAACAUGGGGAUGAGGUCUCACUAUGAUGCCCAGCUGGUCUCAAACUCCUGGCCUCAAGGAAUCCUCCUGCCUUGGCCUCCUCUCCUGCCUUGAAAUUACUCUGGGAUUCCAAGACCAUGACUAAGCCACCCACCCUCUGUGUCAUGAGCAGACUGCUACGCUACAUGUCCAAUUCAUCACAUGGUGCAUCUAACACUCUGUGCCUGAAGCCCUACAAGGAGAUCCAGCUCACAGUAUGAACGUUGUGUUUGGGACAUCUUCAAUUUUUAACUUCCAGCAGAAAGCAAUUCCUGCUAAAUAAAGCAACCCUGCGGGAUGUUGAAAGUGAUAGAGUGAAGGAUUCCUUUACCCACAAAGUCACUCUGAAUAUUCAUCUAGCAUGUGGAGCAGGAAAUCUGUUAUUCUCUCAGGCAUUCUUUACUUGGGGCAGCAGGGAAGAAACAUCUAUGUAAUAAAAAGAAAAGAAACUGUAAGUCCAAUCAGUCUAAAAUGUCUUGUGCUGG